AUCGCUGUAUCUGCAUGACUAAAUACAUUUAUUUGUUUAUUUAAUCCCGCUUAUAGGUUGACGGUUGACAGUUCAAGAAGUUAUGUGCUGACGCGCACCUCGCGGUACACCAAACUACCAAAGAUACGUUUAAAGUCAAUACAAUCGUUUAAAAUCGAAUAUUAUGAUCUAAGUCCUGAGGACUACCUAAGUCCCCAUCGGCCAUCCCCCAGUACAAACAAUUAAUGUAUGCCACAUUCGACGGAUAAAAAAAAUAAAAUAAAAAAAAGAUUCAAGUACCUAAUACCUACACAGUAAUAAUUCGUACCUACCUAGUAUAUUUUUUUAGCCGUACAUGAACAUGGUACCUAUCACAUUUCAUAGUGGGUACCUGCUGAAAAUAUAUGGUGUUGAACUGUUGGAUAUUUAACAAAUCAGAAAUCAGAAUGAAAAAUAUGAGCAAAUUCUAUAAAAAAAUCUUAAACUAAUCAUUUAUUAUCGACUACUUAUCAUUAUUAGGUAUUAAAAAUUAAAAUAGUUUGUUGGAACACCUUAUAAUUGUAUUAAUUUAAAAACCGGACAAUAGAUAUACCGUAUACCAAUGAAAUAAUUAGUUAUUCAUUAUUUAGGUACAUGACGUGUUCUUGAAAAUGUUGUGUGUAUAUAUUAUACUGUGUAGUAGGUAGGUAGUAGGUGUGUCAUUAAAUAAUGAUGAAAACAGGACCAAAACAUAUCGUUUAUUUUUUAAUCGGAAUUACUACGGUUGUAUUUUUCGACUUCCGGGUUUCGGCACGUCGAUUGCCGACCACUUGGAAUUAGGAUAGUAGGAGCCUACAAAUUACAAUGGAUGAAAAGAGACUUAGUUUAAUUUUUUUAAUUAUCGUACUUAAAUUUAAAUUUAAAUUGAACAAUAAAAAGUAUUCUCAUCAUCUCAUCGUUCCCCCACCCCCAAUAACAAUGGUAAUAAUUGUUUUCUCUUUGGCAUAUUAAUUUUUACUCCUAUGCUUUAUUCUACGUUGUGCUAGACUGCUAAAGCUAAAACAGUAAAACGUGGUUAAAUAAUCAAAACAUUUUUAAUUCGUAAAA